CCCCAUUGUUUCUCCCCCAUUGUUUUUUCUCAUUGUUUCCCCCCCAUUGUUUUCCCCCAUUGUUUUCCUUUUUUUUCAUUUCCCCCAUUGUUUCCCCCCCCAUUGUUUCCAGUUUUUGACCUUUUUUUCAUUUCCCCCAUAUUUGACCAAUUUUCCCCCCUUUCCCCCCAUUAUUUCCCCCCAUUUUCCCCAUUUUUCUCCAUUUCUCUCCCCCAUUUUUCCCCCUCACUUUUUCCCCAUUUUCCCCCCAUUUCUCCCCCUCAUAUUCCCCCCACUUUUCCUCAUAUCCCCCAUUAUUUCCCCGGAAUUUUUCCCAUUUCCCCCAUUUCUCCUUAUUAUUUUCCCAUUUUCUCUCCAUUUUCCUCCUCAUUCCCCCCAUAUUUCCCUAUUAUUUCCCCCUAUUUUUUCCCAUUAUUUCCCAUUUCUUCCCCUCAUUCUCCCCUCAUUUCCCUCUCAUUUCCCUCUCAUUUCCCCCUCAUUUCCCGUCAUUUCCCCCUCAUUUCCCUCUCAUUUCCCCUUCAUUCUCCCCUCAUUCUCUCCUCAUUUCCCCCUCAUUCUCCCCUCAUUUCUCCCUCAUUUCCCUCUCAUCUCCCCCUCAUUUCCCCCUCAUUUCCCUCUCAUUUCCCCCUCAUUUCCCCCUCAUCUCCCCCUCAUUUCCCUCUCAUUCUCCCCUCAUUCUCCCCUCAUUCCCCCCUCAUUCCCCCCUCAUUUCCCCCACACUUCCCCCAAUUUUUGCCUUUUUUCCCAUUUUGACCCUUUUUUUUCAUUUUUUCCCGUUUUUCCCCAAUUCUGCAGGCGCUGGCUCCGCGGCAGGUGCUGGAUUUGGAGGAUUUGGUGUUUGCCCAGGGCAGUCACUUCAUGGCCAACAAGCGCUGCCAGCUCCCGGACGGAUCCUUCCGCCGCCAGCGCAAGGGCUACGAGGAGGUUCACGUGCCCGCCCUCAAACCCAAACCCUUCGCUGCUGACGAGGUCUGCACCCAAAAUAAAUAUAUUAAAAAAAAAUUAUCAGCAAAAAAAAUUAAAGCAAAAAAAAAAAUUUUAAAAAAUAGCGAAAAAAAGCUCAAAAAAUCAAUUUAUUUUCAUAUUUUUCGCAAUGAAAACCCAAACCCUUCGCUGCUGAC
rnacentral:lncRNA from 1 species